CCGAGUUUACAACUCCCAAACCCCUGUGAACAUACCACUUGUUGCCUCGGCGGAUCAGCCCGCUCCCGGUAAAACGGGACGGCCCGCCAGAGGACCCCUAAACUCUGUUUCUAUAUGUAACUUCUGAGUAUAAAAACAUAAAUAGAUCA
rnacentral:misc_RNA from 1 species